rnacentral:rRNA from 1 species
UUCCGGUUGAUCCCGCCGGACCCCACUGCUAUCGGGAUGGGACUAAGACAUGCUAGUCGAACGUCUCUAAGCUAUGGAAGAGACGCGGCACACAGCUCAGUAACACGUGGCUAACCUGCCCUUGGGACAAGGACAACUCCGGGAAACUGGGGCUAAUCCCUGAUAGGUGAGAACUCCUGGAAUGGAUUCUCGCUGAAAGGACGUUUAGACCAUGCUUCUAGGCGUCACCCAAGGAGGGGGCCGCGACCGAUCAGGUUGUUGGUGAGGUAACGGCUCACCAAGCCUUUAACCGGUACGGGCCGUGAGAGCGGGAGCCCGGAGAUGGGCACUGAGACGAGGGCCCAGACCCUACGGGGCGCAGCAGUCGCGAAAACUCCGCAAUACACGAAAGUGUGACGGGGCUAUCCCGAGUGCCAUCCGCUGAGGAUGGCUUUUCCCCAGUGUAUAAAGCUGGGGGAAUAAGGAGAGGGCAAGCCUGGUGUCAGCCGCCGCGGUAAUACCAGCUCUCCGAGUGGUGGGGAUGUUUAUUGGGCCUAAAGCAUUCGUAGCCUGCUUGGCAAGUCCUCCGUUAAAUCCAACGAUUCAAUUGUUGGCCUGCGGGGGAUACUGUCCGGCUAGGGGGCGGGAGAGGCCGACGGUAUCCCCGGGGUAGGGGUGAAAUCCUAUAAUCCCGGGAGGACCACCAGUGGCGAAGGCUGUUCGGUAGAACGCGCUCGACGGUGAGGGAUGAAAGCUGGGGGAGCGAACCGGAUUAGAUACCCGGGUAGUCCCAGUUGUAAACGAUGCAGGCUAGGUGUUGGCGCGGCUACGUGCCGCUCCAGUGCCGCAGGGAAGCCGUUAAGCCUGCCGCCUGGGAAGUACGGCCGCAAGGCUGAAACUUAAAGGAAUUGGCGGGGGAGCACCACAAGGUGUGAAGCUUGCGGU